AAUGAACGUUGGCGGCAUGGAUUAGGCAUGCAAGUCGAGCGAGAAAUCUAAGAUUGAAACUUCGGUCGAUUUCUUAGAUGGAAAGCGGCGCAAGGGAGAGUAACGCGUAGUUAUCUACCCCGAGGCCCGGAAUAGCUGCGGGAAACUGCAGGUAAUGCCGGAUGAUAUCUGCUUCUGUGAUGGAUGCAGAUCAAAGGUGUGAUUCCGCCUUGGGAGGGGACUGCGUUGUAUUAGCUUGUUGGUGGGGUAAUGGCCUACCAAGGCGAUGAUGCAUAGCGGGCGUGAGAGCGUGGCCCGUCUCACUGGGACUGAGACACUGCCCAGACACCUACGGGUGGCUGCAGUCGAGAAUCUUCGGCAAUGGGCGAAAGCCUGACCGAGCGAUGCCGCGUGCGGGAUGAAGGCCUUCGGGUUGUAAACCGCUGUCAGUUGGGAGGAAGGCUCUGUGAAGAGCGGAGUUUGACCUAUCUUCAGAGGAAGUCCGGCUAAGUU
rnacentral:rRNA from 1 species